GGUGAAAGUGUGAUCAAAGGAAGUAGAGAAGAAGAAGAAAAAAAUAAUAAUAAUAAUAAUAAGAGUGACUCUCAAAAAGGUGGUGAAGCAGUUAUAAUGAUGAAAGUUAUUGCAAAGGCAAAUACGAUGAAGUGUUGGAGCGGUGGUUCAUUUGAAGACUUAGACUAGUUGUUUUUGUUUUCAAUGUUUUGUAAUCCUGCAAUG